UUUUUUUUUUUUUUUUUGUGAAGUUUUAUUUAUUAAAAAUGUAAUAUUUGAAAAAAAGAAUUAAAAGAAAAAAGAAAAAAGUGGGAAGGUAUAGGAUUGAUGGAAUUGAGCUGGCAUGGUCCUAGGUGCUGACGUCACAACCCUGUCCUUCUCAAUUAGGCUCUUAAAUUAUGCUUACGUGUAUUUCUAUUUACCCAAAUCAAAACUCAUUUUAACCCCUCCAACCCUACAUUCCUCUCCUUCUCAAUUACCAUAAUACCCUUCUCCUUCCAUAUACAUGCAAAUAUCAAUAUGUCCAUAUAAAUUCAAUAUCUUUUCAUAUUCCAAGUUUUUUUUUUUAUUAAAAAGAUUUAUAGGAAAAAUAUCUUUCUUUUUUCUUUCAAAUUGUUAUAUUACAUUUUACCUCAAGUGAUGAGAUUUUCAAAAAAUAGUAUUUAGUAAAAGAAAUCAUGCAAAUCUUCAUAUUUUUAUAUCUAAUUCAAAUAAAAUUGAAAUGUUAAGAACUAAAUAUGUAAUGGUAUGAAUGUUAAGAAGCAAAUAUAAAUUAGAUGUAAAGAUUAUAAAUUAAAAAAAGCUUUUUUUUUUUUUUUGUUAUAGUUUUGUGUAAUUAUAAUAUAAAAUAUUGGGAAAAAGAAAAGGUAGGAGAGGACAGACUUUAAGACAGUAGCAUUCUAAUGUAUUCUAAUGUUAGUGUCAGAGAAAAGUACUUUUGGUUGCCAUUUGGGUUAAAUUAGGUCAACAAAUGGUUUCAUUCUUUAUAGGAAAAAAAAAAUACAACUAAAUGAAAUAGAUAGUAAUUAGCAUUUAUAAUAAAGUUGAAUCUGGUUUAAUUAAGUUUUGCUUCUAAAGUUUAGAUUUUUUAAUGUUUAAAAAGUAUCUAAUAAAUCUUUAAACCAAGGAGAUGUGAAGUUAUGAAGUAGGGAAGGGGGAAAGGGCAAAAGAGUGAAUAAGAGGUUACAGCUAAGGCAAAGUGAGUGAGGGGUGAGGCGCCGAAACCAUUUAUGCCUUUUUGCGCCGUUAGGCUCUGUCUUUGGAAGAUAUGAUCCUGUUUGGCUACACCUAUUCACUUUAUUCUUAUCCCUAAUAAUUCUCGUUUCUUCCUCCUUCCUUCUUCCUUCUUCCCAACUCCUCCACUGCACUCCAACACAAACAAAACCCCUCUUUAAAAAAUAUAGAAACCUACAUCCAAUUUUAAAUUUAUAAAUUUUAUCUUUUUAUUAUUUGCUAAAUUGGAAAUUAUAAUUCUAACUUUUAUUAAUAAUAAAAAAAAAGUUUAGCGAUAGAGAAGAGAAGGAUAGGAAUUUCAAAGGGGAAUUCCAUUGGUCAAAGGUAAGUGAUGGGUUAUGUGUAAUGUCUCUCUCUCUCUCUCUCUAUUGCGAAAUAAUGAUAAUGUGUUUCUCUUUAGGAACACAAAAAUAGGUAAGGGUAGAAUUUGGAAUCUCAUUCCCUUUCUUUCUCUUUGUCACUUCUCAUUUACUUAAUUCAUUCCCAAAGACCAUAACCCAUCAAUUCUCUUCUUAAUUACACCCCCCAAAAAAAAAAAAAACAUUCUCCUUAUUAAAUCUCUCUCAAUUCCAAUCUUAAUACAAAUUAAUUAAUUUACUCUCUUAAUUUAAAUUUAAAUAAUUCCUAAAAUGGUAGAGAGGGCAAAUUUGGAAUAGAGAGAGAGAGAAAUGAAAACAAACAAACAAAAAGCUGUGCUCUUUCAUCACGACAGUUUGCUCAACCUCUUUAUUUAAUCUCUCUUUUCUUUUCAAUUUCUUUCUUAUGUAAUCUUUUAAUUUAAUAAAUAAAUAAAGGUGUGGGCCAAUGAAAUUUUUAUCUCAUUUAUUUAAGAAUUGUAUAGAUGCAAAUCAUUCAUUCUUCCUUCAUAAAAUUCAAAUUUAUGUAUAUAUAAUGUAGUAUGGUCUAGCACAUUCCACUACAUCACAUCUUAAUUAAUUAAUACGCUUUCUAACAUUUUUCAAAUGUCAAAAAAUGGAAACAUUAUGCUAAAUGCUAAGCACUAACGUGAGCCUUUGUCAACAUAUAAUUAUAUAAAUAAAUGUAAUUUUUUAAUUAAUCUAUACAAUUAUAUGAUGUGAUUAUAUAUGUCUAACCUUGUUAUAUGGUUUUUAUAUAAUUGGGUUUAGUCACGUUAUUAGGGGAUCCAAUGCUCUAUGUUCAUCUUUUUUAUUCAUUCCACUAAAUUAUUCUUCUUUACUUACUCCUUUCAUAUAAUUGAUUCAUUUCUCUUCCAAUGUCUCAUAAGUUUAUAAUUAUUUUCUUUUCAUGUUUUUAGUGAAACAAAAAGAUACCAUUUUCUUUUCAAUUUUGGAUAAUUACAUUAUGGGUUUUGUCUUUAGACCAUCAGAAUGUGAUUCUAAUUUGAUUCUCUCUGAUUUUCUUUUUUUCUUUUUUUUUUCUACAAUAAUAAUUGUAAUUAACAUAGUUCAUAAUAAUGCUAAUCUCAAUAAUACAAAAUAUGAUUGACAUCAUUUAUAUUUUGUUUAAUUAUGGUCAAGUUUUUAAUGUGUAUUUCUGGAUGAAACAUACAUUAUUUUAUUAUGAAUUACACUUAUCUUUGUGCAGCUCACUCAAGUGUUCAAUCACAAAUUGUCACGUGACAAAUUUAAAAAAAUACUAUAUUUUUUUAAUACCUAAUUUUUCUUUGUGUGAUUGAACUGUAUCUAUGAAUUACUAUUUUUUUCAUACUCUCCAAUCACGUAGAUUGAAUUAUUCUCCUUCGAUAUCUCUUACUUUCUUCUUAUCUACCAUCAAUGAGCUCCAAUGUCACGCUAAGACUAACCACUUUAUUCUCUUAAAAUCAAACAAACUAAUGUAGUUUGUCCUAAAGAUAGAGUCGAUUCGUUCCAUUUAAUUGUCGAGAACCUCAUCUUGAAAAGAUGAAAUUUCUAUGAAAUACAUGAAUUACUUAGCUUAUUGCUAAUUUUUCUUUAGAGAUAGUUGUAAAUCUAGCAAUCAAGUUCAAGGCAAUUUGAUAUAACGAAUUUAGAUGGGGGAUUGUCGUGGAUAAAUUUUGUUUUAUUUGUGAUUCUUUUAAAAUAACUCUUAGCUAUGAAAAUUGUACGACUUGUAACUACCUUUUGUAUUAGGAUUAAUGGGUAUUGAUCCAAGAGAAAAAUUUAUGAACUCAGAGAGAUUAAUAGGCUGUUGAAGUUAAUUAUAAAUUUAUAGAGAGGAAGACUAAUUAAAAAAGUUGAAACUUGUUAGGAUUUUGAUUUUUUUGAGCUUGGAGUUGAAGUAAAGGGUCACUUCCAUGUGUUCCGCAUUAAGUUAUGUUAAUUCAUCAUUUACGUGGCAGCCAUGAAAGGACAUUCCAAGCUUAAAACUUACAAGAGCUGGUUUGUGGUUGAUGGUGAUAUAACUGAAAUUGACCACGACCUAGGGUUUUAGUCUCACUGUAGAAGUUGAAACAACCCUAGCUCACUGUUUAUUAUUUCAACAAAAACAUAAGAAGAAAGGAAUCUCCAUUUGUUUUUGGUUUAUCGCUACUACAUCUACAUGUAAUCGUAACAUAUGAACCGUGGAGUUUACUAUUACGAGGAUUGCACCAAUUUUAAAUACUGAUUAGAUGUACAAAAUUGACACCUCUCAUCUUUGAGCUUUUAGUUAGCUAGUGAAGAAACACAAACCGUAUUCAAAGAAAGAAGUUAAGAGAUUGUGUUAGGCCCCCGAUGUGAGAAGAAAGAAAAGGGUUCAUGGGCUCAGUAACUAAAGGACCUUCUUAUUGGGAAUUGCUGAAUUGUUUUGGGCCAUUUUAGCCGUUGGAGGUUAGUUUGGUUUGAUGUCUGACAUGUAAUCUUGUUUUGAGGGCAACGCCUGUUCCUAUGUGUACUUAGAUAGGUCUGGCGCUUCUCGAAUCCAGCCGGUUGGCUUCUAACUUAUCGUUUAAGUAAUUGAAAUAUCACAAAUUGAGUAAAUAAACCAUACGAUAAUACUAAUCAAUCUCAGCUACUUCGGUCAAAACCCAAAUCAAACGAAUCGGUAAGACAUGAGAGUUUGACAGUAGAAUGGAAUUUAGGAUGAAACUAAUAUUAGAAGCCAUGAAAGUAGUUGAUAAUUCUAGCACAAUCCUCACAGGUCUACAUAACAACUUGGGCAAAACAACCACGAAAACUCAGGAACAUUAUAUUUAUUACUACCACGCGCUCAACUAACUCUUAUAAUAAACUUGAAAAAACUAGAUCUUGAAGAAGAUCAGGAUAACAGUACAUAUUGUGUAGAUACAUACAGGAGUCCAUCCAGCAUGAUCAAGCUAGUUAGUUCCGGUUGGCACAUUUUAGUUGCUUUGACGUAGUUCUGGGCGAACAAAAUCGGCAUCAGCUGGAACAGAAAUGUCAACAGUAGGUCUCAACUGGGCGCAAACUUCAAU
rnacentral:lncRNA from 1 species